AUCACUUGAAAGGAGUGGAACUUAGCUCAGAUAACGUUGACAUGAAACCUACAAACUCGGGUAGUGUGAAUAUGACAACAGAUACAAAAACCUGUAGGCUACAUAGUCACCAAAGUCAUCAAAACUUCGUUCAGUGGGGCUACAAGCCUGGUGCGUCGACAUGCAUCCCAUAAUAGCAUACACUCAAUAGAGGAAAGGGUAUUUUCAGUAUUUUCAAAUGAAGUGAAUAGUUUAUGAACACAUUUGUUAUUGUCUUUCCGACUAUGGUCAGCUAUUAAGAGAUAUAAUGGAGCGCUAUUAUGCAAGUACCCCCCUUGCAAACGCAUAGGAGAAAUGGGUGUUUUUAAGUAGCCUAUUCAACAGCAGAGCUCUUCCCGUCCCCCGUCUCAGACACUGCACUGAGACUCCCGGUCUUGUCUCCAGCUCUUUGAAAAGGUGAAACGAAUAAGAUUAAAUCGGACAAAGAAUAUUCUGUAAGUGUAUCAUUAAGAUUUUACUAUACAGAUUGGGAAGGGAGUUGGACGGAGAGAGAGAGAGUGGAAGGGGGGGACAGCGAAUAAGAGCAGAGGGAAAUAAGGCUAUAGCACGAAAACAGUGAGAAAAACGAGAAAGUGGACAGCAGGACAUUAAAAGAAGAAGCACCCAGCGACGAAUAUUAGGCUAUGGUGGACGGAAAACAUCGGUAACUGAAUUUGGCUAACACCAGCCAGGGAGUGAGCGACUGUGCAAACUGAUCGUGCCAUACUGAAAGGAACGUCAUGGCAAGUCCCCCUCCUUUGGAAUAAAGAGCAUCACCUUGUCACGCAGUCAGAAUCGACAGAGGGUUGUGAUGUCAUGUGUAAAACACAUGUCUCUGUUUAUAUAAGCUCAGUCGCAGCAGCAGCCGUGACAUCGUGACGUCAGCCCCGUCGCACAAGGUGCGGCUCGCACAACGGCCACGACCUGGAUUUAUUUUGACCGUUGACAUCCGAAUAAUGUAGUCUUCAGAAGUAUUAAUAAUGACGCCAAAGAAAAUACUGAUUAUCAAAACUCCCAGCUUAGGUAGAUACUCCCUAUGCAUUUGUCUACAAGGUAAAGGGUUGCUAUUAUGUCUGUGUCAGUAGGUUAAAGGCAAGACAGACCAACACGAAUGUCGGCUGUGCCUACUGGGCGACGACAGAAUGGUGGCGACUCAACGUGUAGAAUCGCUGGGAAAUGAUCCGAAAAUCACGGCCAGUGUACUGUUGUCAGCGGUGGUGUGACGUCCAACCGCUGCGCACCUGCGGCGCACGGCCGACGUUCCUGUUGGUCUGUCUUGGCCUUACGACUAUAUAUGAGCUUCGCCAGUGUCCGUAGCUGAAGGUAUCUACUGUCAGAGAUGAUCAA